GUGGGGAAUAUUGGACAAUGGGGGGAACCCUGAUCCAGCCAUGCCGCGUGUGUGAAGAAGGCCUUUUGGUUGUAAAGCACUUUAAGCGAGGAGGAGGCUACCGAGAUUAAUACUCUUGGAUAGUGGACGUUACUCGCAGAAUAAGCACCGGCUAACUCUGUGCCAGCAGCCGCGGUAAUACAGAGGGUGCAAGCGUUAAUCGGAUUUACUGGGCGUAAAGCGCGCGUAGGUGGCCAAUUAAGUCAAAUGUGAAAUCCCCGAGCUUAACUUGGGAAUUGCAUUCGAUACUGGUUGGCUAGAGUAUGGGAGAGGAUGGUAGAAUUCCAGGUGUAGCGGUGAAAUGCGUAGAGAUCUGGAGGAAUACCGAUGGCGAAGGCAGCCAUCUGGCCUAAUACUGACACUGAGGUGCGAAAGCAUGGGGAGCAAACAGGAUUAGAUACCCUAGUAGUC
rnacentral:rRNA from 1 species